ensembl:snRNA U6 U6 spliceosomal RNA
GCUAGUGCUCACCCCAGCAGCAGCAAUUGGAAUGAUACAGAAGUGAAUAUUAGCAUGGUCCUUCACAAGGCUGACACACACAUUCAUGAAGUGUUCUAUAUUUUC